GCAACUUAGUGGUAGAGCAUAUGCUUUUCAUGCAGAAAGUCCUAGGUUCAACCCCUAGCAUCUCCA